GAGAAAGAGAGGGAGGGAGGGAGGAGGCUAAUGACGUUGACAGCCUUAUCGCCACCUCUCAUCUGUUCUCUCUCGCUACUGCGAGCACAAGCAGUAAAGGUAUUCCCAAACUAUUGGAGAAAGACAGCUUGUGGAUCCAGAUUCCUGGGGCAAAUGCCUCCUUGACUGCUGCUGUGGUGGGCGGAAAGACACAAGUGUAGGGUAGAGUAGAGGUGCCAUAAAAAUGCACAAACACAGCGCAAGUACUGUCAAUCCUGUGACAAGUUCCUUUAAAAACUGAUGCGGAGGCUUUUCCAUACCAAAGGUUUCAAUGAGAAAAAAAGUGCUGAUGAUAACUAGCUGCUAAUAAUAAGCCAUCAGAACGAUUGCAUAGUAAGAUAGCGUCGAUAUGUCUGGAAAAAGCCAUUCUUUGCUAUCUUGUGUCCUUUUAGAACCCAUUUGCCUUGCGAGACAAAAAAUAAUCAUCAAUUAUAUUUUCCAAAGCUAAACGGACUGAUUGAUAUUGAGUCUUCUUUGCAUGCUAAUUAUCUGUAGCUUGUUAAAUAAUUCAGUGGAAUGCAGAGUAGUUACUGAAACAUAGUUACCAAAUCUUGUGCCUAAAAGAAUGUGUAGAACUUCAACUGUCUGUAAAGGAGACUUAGAGAAGAUUAACAAAGUGAAAAGGGAGUUCAGAUUCCCACCAACACCAUACACAAACAUCCAGUCCAUUUUUUCCUGUGAGUUGUGAAGGGGAAUAAGGUGCAUGGCAGCGCAGGCUGUCAGAGAUAAUGAUCCUCUUUGCUUUCCCAUUAUCCCCUCGCUACAGCUGGAUGCACACUACUCAUUUACUGCCCCCCCCCCACACACACACACACACCCUCGUCCUUCCUCUCCCUCUCUAGCUGCGAGGGUAAUAGGGUCUUGUACCCAAUCAUCUUUACGGCGUGUGUCCGUGUGUCAUUGCUGCAGGAGGCACAGCGGUAGGAGUCUGUUCUGUGGCCAGAGGUUAGCUGUCACAAGCUGCUGUCCCCUCGUGUUGACGGAGGGUAAUAGAGGCUACGUCCCAAAUGGUACCUUAUUCCCCAUUUAGGGCACUUCUUUUGACCAAGGCCCUUAGGGCACUACAUAGGGAAGGAAGGGUUCCACAAAAAGUGGUGAUUUUAUUUGGCUCCCCAAGUAUUCUGAGAAAAAAAUAUAAAUCAUUUCAUAGUUGGAAAUAAAGAUGGUAAAAUCAUCAGAAAAUCAGAAAAUAAUUCCCUGCAUUCCCACACAUACUGGGCACAAUGGAAAAACAAUGUCAGAUUUUGGGUUUAGUAGUCAUCUAAAUGCAAUAUAGUAUCAUUGAUGGCACAGUGCAUUCGGAAAGUAUUCAGACCCCAUUACUUUUUCCGCAUUACAGCCUUAUUCUAAAAUGUAUACAAUUAUUUUUUCCCUCAUCAAUCUACACACAAUACCCCAUAAUGACAAAUCAAAAACAGGCUUUUAGAUAUUUUUGCAAAUUUUUUUUUUUUUUUUUAAGAAAAAAAUGAAAUAUCACAUUUACAUAAGUAUUCAGACCCUUUUCUCCGUACUUUGUUGAAGCACCUUUGGCAGCGAUUACAGCCUCGACUCUUCUUGGGUAUGACGCUACAAGCUUGGCACACCUGUAUUUGGGGAAGUUCUCGCAUUCUUCUCUGCAGAUCCUCUCAUGCUCUGUUAGGUUGGAUGGGGAGCGUUGCUGCACAGCUAUUUUCAGGUCUCUCCACAGAUGUUCAAAUCGGGUUCAAGUCCGGGCUCUAGCUGGCCCACUCAAGGACAUUCAGAGACUUGUCCCGAAGCCACUCCUGCAUUGUCUUAGCUGUGUGCUUAGGGUUGUUGGGCUGUUGCAAGUUAAACCUCUGCCCCAGUCUGAGGUCCUGAGCGCUCUGGAGCAGGUUUUCAUCAAGGAUCUCUCUGUACUUUGCUCCGUUCAUCUUUGCCUUGAUCCUGACUAGUCUCCCAGUCCAUGUUGCUGAAAAACAUAACCACAGCAUGAUGCUGCCACCACUAUGCUUCACCGUAGGGAUGAUACCAGGUUUUCUCCAGAUGUGACGCUUGGCAUUCAGCCAAAGAGUUCAAUCUUGGUUUCAUCUGACCAGAGAAUCUUGUUUCUCAUGGUCAGUUCUUUAGGUGCCUUUUGGAAGGUUCUCCCAUCUCUAGAGCUGUCAGUCUGUCAGUCUGUCAGUCCUUCUCCCCCGAUUGCUGAGUUUGGCCGAGCGGCCAGCUCUACGAAGAGACUUGGUGGUACCCUUCCCCAGAUCUGUGCCUCGACACAUUCCUGUCUCGGAAGUCCACGGACAAUUCCUUCGACCUCAUGGCUUGGUUUUUGCUCUGACAUGCACUGUCAAAUGUGGGACCUAAGAUAGACAGGUGUGUGCCUUUCCAAAUCAUGUCCGAUCAAUUGAAUUUACCACAGGUGGACUCCAAUCAAGUUCUAGAAACGUCUCAAGGAUGAUCAAUGGAAACAGGAUGCACCUGAGCUCAAUUUCGAGUCUCAAAGCAAAGAGUCUGAAUACAUAUGUAAAUUACAUAUUUUUGUUUUUUAUUUUUAAUAAAUUAGCAAACAUUUCUAAAACCCUGUUUUUGCUUUGUCAUUACGGGGUAUUGUGUGUAGAUUGCUGAGGAAUUGUUUUUAUUUAAUCAAUUUUAGAAUAAGGUUGUAACAUAACAAAAUCUGAAAAAAGUCAAGGGGUCUGAAAACUUUCCGAAGGCACUGUAUAUGACUUAUAAAGUAAGGUUACAUCUUAUUUGCUCUGUUAAACCUACCCUUAGGAACGACUUUGCUAGCAACCUUGAAUAUAUGUCGUUAUUAAGAGUUCUCCCAAUAAUCAUUUUCACGGUAGCACAUUGGUAGUAGUCAGUGACAAACAUCAAAGCUAAGCAUGGCUUGGCUUGGUUAAAACCCAGGAUGGGAGACCAAAUGAAUAGCUGUUGAUAGAUCAACUGUCCAGUAGGAGGUGCUGCCCAGACUAUAGUUGAUUUUUUAUAAACAUUGAAGAUCUGAUGUUAUUUCAAAAGGUACAAAUUCAACAUAUUUUAUACAAGGUUUGUCUAUGUUGAAAGUUGGUUACAGUGAAUACAUAAUCCUGUGGUUGAAAGCUGACAUAUGGAGUUGUUUUAAGAUCGCCAUACCAUGGAUCAUUUGGCUAUUUUAUUAUGAAUUUUAGGACCCCUUCAGGCAACAAUGAUUUACUUAGAUUUUUUAAUAUAAAAUAUUGAGUUGAAAAUAAUGUGCUGAGUAGAACAUAGAACAUUGAUCUCAGGCAUGAGUAGGUCUAGAUGGCAGGGCUGCUCUUGUUUUGGAAAAGAGACAUUGUGGCUACCUUUCUCCAGCGAUUUCAGAUUUAAAAAAAAUGUGUUGUGUGUUUGCCUCACAUGUCAGCACAUACAGUUGAAGUUAGAAGUUUACAUACACUUAGCUUGGAGUCAUUAAAACUCAUUUUCCAACCACUCCACAAAUUUCUUGUAACAAACUAUAGUUUUUGCAAGUCAGUUAGGACAUCUACUUUGUGCAUGACACAAGUAAUUUUUCCAAAAAUUGUUUCCCGACAGAUUAUUUCACUUAUAAUUCACUGUAUCACAAUUCCAGUGGGUAGAGGUUUACAUCCACUAAGUUGACUGUGCCUUUAAAUAGCUUGGAAAAUUCCAGAAAAUGAUGUCAUGGCUUUAGAAGCUUCUGAUAGGCUAAUUGACAUCAUUUGAGUCAAUUGGAGGUGUACCUGUGGAUGUAUUUCAAGGCCUACCUUGAAACUCAGUGCCUCUUUGCUUAAGGGGGACAAAGAUAGUACUUUUUGGAGAAAAGGGUCUCCCAAAUGGACAAUGACCCCAAGCAUACUUGCAAAGUUGUGGACAAAUGGCUUAAGGACAACAAAGUCAAGGUAUUGGAGUGGCCAUCACAAAGCCCUGACCUCAAUCCUAUAAAAAAUGUGUGGGCAGAACUGAAAAGCGUGCGCGAGCAAGGAGGCCUACAAACCUGACUCAGUUACACCAGCUCUGACAGGAGGAAUGGGCCAAAAUUCACCCAACUUAUUGUGGGAAGCUUGUGGAAGGCUACCUGAAACAUUUGACCCAAGUUAAACAAUGUAAAGGCAAUGCUACCAAACACUAAUUGAGUAUGUAAACUUUUGACCCACUGGGAAUGAGAUGAAAGAAAUAAAAGCUGAAAUAAAUCAUUUUCUCUACUAUUAUUCUGACAUUUCACAUUCUUAAAAUAAUGUGGUGAUCCUACCUGACCUAAGACAGAAUUUUUACAAGGAUAAACUUUUAGGAAUUGUGAAAAACUGAGUUUAAUUUUAUUUGGCUAAGGUGUAUGUAAACUUCCAACUUCAAUUGUAUUAUGCUCAGUUUUUCUUACUUGUAUGGAAGAUAACAAAAAUAACUACAAGGGCUCCACUGGGAAAAGGUGAAAUAAUUGUAGUGUUUAUUUUCACAAAGUUCACAAAGACUUUCCCAAGCAAUGUUCAUAAAUUUGGUUCUGCCUGUGAUCAGAGGAAAGUCUAAGUACAGUUGAUGUCUCAGAGAACCAAGACUUUACUGUGCUCUCUUAUCGAUGUUCAUGUUUUCAACAUGGAAUACAAAUAUCUAGAUUCGAGAAUAAGGUUAAAAAGAAAUGUACCUGAUAAUGCUUAUGCUUUGCAUUUUAAAAGAGGUCAUGUGCACUUGUUGAUAAAAUAUGGUUUAUAUAUACUUUUUUGUCUUUGAGAAUGGCUUGUUUUAUUAUGAUUCAGGACAUAACUUUAUUAAUGAGUGAAUUUACUGUGGAUAUCAGGUUCUCAUUAAAACGCAUGUUUCCACGUGAUUGUCAAUCCACAAGUCAGUUAAACUUUAGUAUGUUUUUGAUGGUUAAUUGCUCAAAAAUGAUUUGUUAAGCUGCCAACAAAUGUUUUUGUUCAGCUGUCAACUUGUUCCAUAAUGGAUGUCAGACCGAGAGUGUUGCUUACUACAAUGAAGAUAAAUGGAACAUGCAUAACUGCAACAAAACAUCAUGAUUGCAAUAUUCUAUACUCUUUGAAAAAAAGAUUACAGAAGGCUUGUUUGGCUGUCCCUAUAGGAGUGCCCUUUGUGGUUGUAGGUAAAAGCCUUUUUGUUUCCAGGUAGAACCAUUUUACCUUCCAUGUAGAACCCUCUGUGGAAAGAGUUCUACAUGGAUCCCAAAACAGUUCUACUUGGAGCCAAAAUGAUUCUACCUGGAACCAACUAGGAUUCUUCAAAGGGUUCUCCUAUGGGGACAACCGAAUAUCCCUUUUAGGUUCUAGAUAGCACCACUUUUUCCCCAAGAGUGUAGUCUGCCUCUCUCUCUCUCUCCAACAAUGGAUGUGUAAAGGGACUUAGUAUGCACAAUGCUGUCUUCAGUCCACAAGUGGCAACAAAGCAAACGCCUGUUACUGUGCAAAACAACUAAAGUUGUUGCUUUUUCUCUAUAAAAUAAUGUAAAUAUAUCUGUAAGUGAAAAUACUGAAACAUAUCUUUUUAUUUCAUUUUAAAUAAUGCAUUCUUUUGACAUUUGAUAACAUGACAAAAGGAUGUGAUCUAAAUUAAAACAUCUAUUUUCCUCUUCUUUCCUAGUGGCUUUAAUAGCUUGACUCUCCUAGUUUCCCCGAUCAGAAAACAUGCACAUAAUCAGAUUCUGUAAAACUUGAUCUUCCCUUCCGUUAAUGCUGCUCUUUGUUGUCUGUCCGUGCUCUGACUUCCAACACCUCCAGAUAAUAGGAGGACUGUCAGGCGGUGGGCUCUGCUGGGACUGGGAGUCAGGCUUGUCCAAGCGAAAAUCUACAUACUCUUAGAGUGGGUUCAAUCAGGCAUCAAAUUAGCCCAAUGCACACACAGCUGAGCACUGUGACACACACACACACACACACACACACACACACACACACACACACACACACACAGUGUUUAUGUUCAUCAUCUUGCUGGGUGAAAUGCCACUCUAAUUAAUCAAAUGACCCUCAUUUUGUGCCACAAGGGUACAUUUAGUCCCCCCCAGACACAUAUCUUCAGUGGCUUUAGUCCCCCAUCCCAGGUACAUCUCUUCAGUGGCUUUAGUCCCCCCAUCCCAGACACAUCUCUUCAGUGGCUUUAGUCCCCCCUCCCUCAGAUACAUCUCUUCAGUGGCUUUAGUCCCCCCUCCUCCCUCAGAUACAUCUCUUCAGUGGCUUUAACCCCCCUCCCC
ensembl:lncRNA